UGGAGACCCGUGUAAGUCUCUGCCGGGCCAAGUUUUCCAGGUGUUUGGAAGAAAUUCCAAGACAUAGGAGUAAAGAAGAAAGCUUGGAAAGAUCAAAGGAAAUAGAAGUAUUGCUGAUACACUUUACAUGAGUCGUGCAAGCAAAACCAUAGACCCGUAUAACCUAUUGCCAGGAGAAAGCUAAAGAGCCAAAGAAGAAACACAAUACACGAGCCGUGUACCACGACCCGUGUAA
rnacentral:misc_RNA from 1 species